GCUAGCUCAGUCUGUAGAGCAUGAGAUUCUUAAUCUCAGGAUUGUGGGUUCGAAUCCCACAUUGGGCA
rnacentral:tRNA from 1 species